rnacentral:misc_RNA from 1 species
CUUACAACCCUUUUCCUACAACGCCUUUUUACCUUUUCCCUUAUUCUGCCUUUCGGCCUUCCCUGGCUUCUGUCUGCAGUUUUCUUUACAAGUUCAAGGGCGGAUCUCUCAACCUUCAAAUAUGAAGAAAGUAGUGUUGAAAUUGGAGAUUCACGGUGACAAGGAAAAGAAAAAAGCCAUGAAGAAAGUCUCUGGCCUUUCAGGCGUCGAAUCAAUCUCCCUGGACAUGAAGGACCAGAAAUUGACGAUAACAGGGGACGUUGAUCCAGUACAUGUAGUAGGAAAACUGAGAAAGCUCUGCCAUACAGAUAUAGUUUCUGUCGGACCAGCAAAAGAGCCUGAAAAAAAGAAGGAAGAGCCAAAGAAAGAGGAGCCGAAGAAGAAGGAAGAGCCCAAGAAA